UUCCUAGUGGUCCAGUGGUUAGGACUCUGCAUUUUCACUGCAGUGGGUGUGGGUUCAAUCCCUGCUCAAGGAA
rnacentral:tRNA from 1 species